UGCCUAACUGUCCGGUCCGUGACAGAGGGAUCUUGUUAUCUGUGGCUGGAUAGCAUUUGGACAUGACGAAUGUACAUGCUAUGCCAAAGACCAGCCUAUGAUCACAGGUGAUGCAGUGAUUGGUGAUGGCUAUGGUUUUCUUCCCACUGAACUAAACAUGCUAAAACGGAAAAGAAGACAAGAGGACGUGUCAUCCAUGGCAGUGUGUCAUUCUCCCGCUGAUGGUCCACUUUGCAGAGAAAUAUGAGGGGCUCAUUGUACUGGUUAAUGUCUUCCCAGUGGUGAUGUAGAGCUGAUGUGGAGGCAACAGUGCUGCUUCCUUCGUCCUUCCUUUCUUCAAGACCUGCGUUUUUUGUCUUUUGCCAAACUUUAGGCAGUAUCUUAUACAGUAGAAACUAAGCCUAACACUUGAAGCCCCGUAGGCGUUGCUUGACUGACACCAAUCUGACGAGCUUGCUCAGCCGGUGGAAUCUCUUGUAUACAUGAAUAAGCAAACUGGACGUGUUCUUUCUGAACAAUAUUAA